UGAGGCAGCGACGGCUGUGUGAAGGGAGGGGGAAGAGGGGUUCUGUCCAUGGGGAGGGGCUUCUGUCUGGGGGAACCCGUGGGUCUGGGGUCCCAUGCGUCUGCAGGGUCAUCUGUCUUGGAGGCGAGUAUGGGAGGACUUCUGGGCUGGAGGCCCAACGAGUCUUGGUAUCGGUUUGGACUUCCUCUCGUGGGAGGAAGACGCUACAUCUAAGAGGAAGAGCUGCCCUGUGGAACAAUGGGCAUAUCUGCUACCCUCUUUCAGCCUCAGUUUACACCUCUGCAAAGUGGAUACCAAGAAGGUCUGGACCCAGAAGCCUCGCCAUUGGGCCUUCUCGGCUGUUGGUGCUCUUGCUAAUCCCCUUCCCUCUCCCCGGAUAUGAGGGGCCUCACCCUUUGGCCAGCUCUCCUCUUACGGGCGUCUCCUGUUCGCUGGACUCCUGCCGCUCCAACCGCCGCUCGCGCCGCUCGCGCCGCCUCUCCAUCUGCUCAUAGCGGCCCAGUGUAAGGCUAUGUGCCACCUCAUGCUCCGCGGAUUCCUGUCGUUCUGGUCUCCUCCUCCGCGCAGACUCCUCGGGUUGGUCAGCCGAUUCUUGGCGCUCUGGCCGCCGCCUCCGGGGCAGCUCCUCCGUGCGAUCCGCUGAUUCCUGGCGCUCUGGUCUGGGCCGGACCUGCUCCGCAGCCGCAGGGGUCCCGGGAGUCUCCGCUGCAAUGUUCUCCGGUGCGGCCGGAGGGGCCGCAGGCUCUACCCUCCCGGGGACCUCCGGCAGCCGGUCAAUGCGCGGCUGGAGGCGCUCGGGCUUGAGCUCCUGGCGCACGUACCCCACCCGGGUCCGCACCUCGGCUGACAGCGUGUCCGAGGCCCGGCGGGCCAAGGGCUCCAAGCCCCUUUCAUAGCCCCCUGGCCGCAGUAAAGGUGCCGCCUUGGCCGCCAGUUCCGUGGGGUCCCCAAAGAACUUGCGCCCCAGCAGGGGAGUGGGUGGUUGCUUGCUUUGUUCUGCCUUGAUUUUCUCAAUCUGGGGACAGAAGGACCAGAGACAGGAUGGGGCGGGAAGGUGCGGAGAGUGAGUGGUCUGACAGGCACUCUGGGUUUUCUGCUUCACCUCUAAACCUAUUAGUUCCUUGAAGAAACAAGAUGCCCAACGCGCUGCCCCACUUUCUGCCAGGAGCUUGAUCCCCGAUCUUCCUGCAAACACCUCUUGCUCUUGUAGGAAUCAGCUAAAUCAACGUUUUCUCUGGGUGCUUUUCUAAACUUCUUUCUUCUUUAAUGUUUCCCACCCAGGAACUCAAAAAAACUUUUUAUUACAAUG